UAGGGAAUCUUCCGCAAUGGACGCAAGUCUGACGGAGCAACGCCGCGUGAGUGAAGAAGGAUUUCGGUUCGUAAAACUCUGUUGUUAGAGAAGAACAGCGCAUAGAGUAACUGUUAUGCGUGUGACGGUAUCUAACGAGAAAGCCCCGGCUAACUACGUGCCAGCAGCCGCGGUAAUACGUAGGUGGCAAGCGUUGUCCGGAUUUAUUGGGCGUAAAGCGAGCGCAGGCGGUCAAUUAAGUCUGAUGUGAAAGCCCCCGGCUCAACCGGGGAGGGUCAUUGGAAACUGGUUGACUUGAGUGCAGAAGAGGAGAGUGGAAUUCCAUGUGUAGCGGUGAAAUGCGUAGAUAUAUGGAGGAACACCAGUGGCGAAGGCGACUCUCUGGUCUGUAACUGACGCUGAGGUUCGAAAGCGUGGGUAGCAAACAGG
rnacentral:rRNA from 1 species